rnacentral:lncRNA from 1 species
GUCCUACCGAUACAUGAUGUCACUCCUGGCGGCCCAGCUGUAAAAUUCCUCUCUUUGUACUGUCUGUCUUUAUUCUCAGCCGGCCAACACUUAUGGAAAAUAGAAAGAACCUACGUUGAAAUAUUGAAAUAUUGGGGGUGGGUUCCCCCAAUAUUCCUGGGAUAAACCUUACUCGAUUCUGGGAAAGAUUUGGGGCACAGGAGGUGAUAUGUAAAAAAACGACUCCUCCACCAACAGC